CCUUCGAUGAAUCUAAGCCGUUCUUCCACCACGAUGCAACCGCGACCCCAACCCGCUCGUUCCCCUCCCCCUCCUCUCUUUCUCUCUCGCGCUUGACUCCCCCGCCGCCCCUUCCCGUCCCCACCCCGACGCCGUCCGCUCCCCAUCCACCAUCCCAGCGCGAUGGCUGGGAGGACCGCGCCCGCCUCCCUCCCCUCCUUCUCCCUCACGCCCGACUCCCUCGCUGCCCCUUUAUCCUGGAUCUCGUCAUGGACGCUACCACGACCAACGGUUCGACGGAGCAGGCGCCGCACUCUGCGCCACGGGACGGAGCCCGUCCCCACCCGACACCGGCCACCUCCACCCCGAGCUCCUCCGAGAAGUGAGUGAUUUCCAUUUCUUCGAUUGGAUGACGCGCGGUCGGGCCUCCGCACCUCUCUGUCCCCCUCCCCUCCCGCGGCGACAGCUUCCUCUAGGAGAUGAGCGCGCCCGCCCCCGCGCGCACCACCACCACCACGCGUCCACGCCCCUCGUGCACCUUCUCGCCCGAGGUACGCACCCUGCACCCUACACCCUGUCAAACCCUAGCUAUUAUCUACUGGGUUUCUUUCUUGGUGUUGAUAGUUUGUUGGAGAUUAGGCGUUUGAUUUCCUUUACAAAAUAGGUUCAGUUUGAAAUUGCGGCCAAAGCAAUGUUUUCAUGUGGUUUCAUCAAUUUUAGUUUCUAUAUUUACAUGUGUUUGAUUGUCCCUUGCCCUCGUUUAGAUAGAGAUUUCUAUCAAGAGUAUAGAAAGUUGGUGCCUGACAACUAGCUGCUUGCAUUCAUCCACCCCCUACUCUUAUCUUGCAAAAGCCCACUUCUUGUGUUUUGCUUGUAUAUAUAUUAGGCUGGACCAAAGUGCGGUUAAGUAACCUCUAACAAAUUGUCAUGACAUGAGCUGAUUAGCGGUCUAUUGUAAGCCCGCUCGGACUUACGAAAGUGGAGGUCACAUUUCCAUUCCACCAAUGCAUGUAGAUUUUGGUUCAGACUUCCAUCAGUGAAUGAAAAAAGGAAAAGCAAGAGAGAAUAGCAAGUACUUAUAUCAGUAUAAAAAUAUACCAAUGGGUAGUGAGCCUGCAACGUUGUGUACGUAUACAUGGGGAAAAUAUUUGGUUUGUGGCUUGUGUGAAAGGACAAUUUAGGUUUGUAUUCUAUAUCUGAGGACCAUUCAUAGCUUUCAGAUUUUGUUAUAAUUGUCAUCCCAUGGUUCUGCUCGGAACAACUCUUUCUCCAGGAUUGUUUUGGGACUGGUCAUUGCGGGCAUGUUGAGGGUAUUUAGUUAAACAAUUUUGUUAUUAUUUUAGAUUGAGUACAUCAACUCGCUGGUUGCUUACAUUUUCUUGGUCCCUAGAGCUACUCACCUCGCUGGUUGUUUACAUUUCCUUGUUCCUGGGAUCCACUUUCCUAAAAUGAAUCUGUUUUAAUCUUGUAACUGGAACUGGUGGAUAUUUUGAUAGGGAAAUUACGAUGAUUGAUUUCUGGAUUUGAGUUUCAGUUUUUUUUUGCUUGUACUGGCCUCUUGAGAUUGGAAGACUGGCGUUGUUGUGGGCUUGUGGCAUAGGCUUCCUUUGUGGGUCUUUUUCUCAUCUGAUGUAAACAAUAUUUUUUAGUCUGGUAACGGUGCAAAGGCAAAUGGGGCAUCAUCACAUAUCUAGGUCGUAUUUUCGACAGACAGAUAUAAAACGGAGUGGGAAUGCCUCGAUUGAUAUCAUGUCCAAGUUCUUCAAGCUGAUGGUGGUAGGUGUUUUGCUUUGCUACUUUCUCAUUGUUGAAGUUGUCUCCAUGUUGUAUUCACUAAAGAACCCCUAUAUUAUUUAUUUUGGAACAAACCUUUUUUGUUUUGUCCUAAAAUGAGAUCGAGCAAGAGCAUUUUUCCUGUGGGUUGAGUAAAUCUAGAUUUUUGCUUUGCAUGAUGAGACAAUCCAGAGAAUGUAUACCAAUUAUGAUGUGUGCCUUUUAUAUUUAUCUACAUUACCCAAUAUAGCAUAUUAUUCUUUGCUAUCUUAGUCUAUUAUUACUCAUGAUAUGGCAUAUUAUUCUUUUUGCUUCUUGAAAUAAUUUAACCAUAGUUCUUGGAGAUGCUAGGAUUCCAAUGCGAGACACUGUCAUCUCUUGUAGUGUCGGCUAUAUGUGUUCUACUCCUUUGCUCGAUAAAGCACCUAUUUCAUAUCUUUAGCAGUUGUCUUAUGUCACUGUCGGUAUCAUAUCCAAAUUUGUAUCCUUUUGUAUGGUAUGAUAAGUCCAAAAGCUCUAAGAUUUUUUUUGUCUUGUGCAGGUUCUACAAUUAAUGAAUGAUUUGAACGAAGUGUUCAAGAUGCCGCUAUCUCUUGUAUUGAGGUUAGUUAAUUCCAUAUUUGAUAUUGUCUGUGUAUGCCUACUUCAGCCGACAUUGUGUUUUUUCUAGACCCAUGGUGACUGGUAUGAUCUCUAUUUCUAUUGGACUUGUUCAAUUUCCCAAUAGUUACAUCCCAUAUUUACAAGCUGGAGAGAUUGAAACAUUUUUUAUAACAUCUUAUCUAUUAAAACUCCAUGUCGUUUGCUCCACCAGGGGCUUCCAGUGCGCUUUUUCCCCUCGAUCUCGUGUGAUCUGAGUGUGAGAAGGCUUAUAGUGUGCUUGAGGUUCUUCGACCUCUCUAUAAUUCCCCUAAGAUACUGGAACAAAAGGUAACUGUUGCGAUAUAUGUCAAUCUUCAAUUUCGUUGUCGCUUAGCAGUUGUUGGGCUUUGGUACCCAGUCUGUAAUUUUGCUGAUGCACCAGCGACACAUAUUUAUCAUUUUUUAUUUUUAAAUCAAUAACAAAGCACAGGUACAAUAUAAUCUUAUAUAGCUUUUAAGGUAUGUAAACAUCCACUUUAGUGAUGCUAACAAAUGUAUAAAAUAAUAAUAAUUAUUUUUUCAUAGCAAUAUAUUUUAUCAUAUUGCAUCUUAGUUCAUGCUACCUGGAUGUAAAUGUGGUGCGGUUUAGUUUAAUAAGAUCUUCACUAAUCACUACAUAGUGCAGCACUGGGCUGUUAAUAUUUUUUGUACCAUGUGUCAUAAGCAUGAGAUGUUGCCUGUAGAGUACCAAUGCUUUAUUGCAGUCUUCCUCCUCGUCUGCCCCAAUGUCGGCAAGUCAGCCCUCUUCAACAGGUGAGAGACACCUUAGGAAGGCAUCGGUCAUUGCCUCUCGCCUGUAGUUUCUAUGCCGCUAUGAGGGGUGGUGGCAUUUCCUCAAAUACGUUGCAUGUAUCACUGUAACUGUUCUUCCCCUUCCGUUACCAUUAACCCAUGCAUCUAAUUACUUGUAUAUUUUACGUUACCGUUUUCCUGUUCUCAACAUUUCAGAUUCUAGAUGAUGGUACGACAAAUUAUUUUAGGAGCGCUUUGACAUAAUUUAAAGCUUGGAAGGGAGCUUUCUAUGAUUUAUUUUUCUGACUGUUUCGUCACAUGUUCUUUCCCUAGAUGAAAGUAUUGAUUUAUUUUUGGUUCUGCAGGAUCAUUGCGUCUCUGCGAGCUAAUCAGUUCUGUGAGCGUCUCCCUAGCCCCAAUGGCGAGUCAACUGUUGAUUGUCAUCAGAUCUCAAAGAUGCCAAAUCUUGCAUUCACCAUUGCAAACAAGACUUUCACCUUAACACCAGAGCAGUACAUAGUGAAGUUGGAGCAAGCAGGACAAACUAUCUGCAUCAAUGGGUUUAUGGCAUUUGACGUACCGCCUCCUCGUGGUCCUCUCUGCUACGCUAAACAUAUCUGUACUACUCUUAAGUGUGCAAUGAGGGCGUCCACCGAGGGCAUCACCGUGCCCCCGCUCGCCCCCUCCACGCCCGCGCCUGUCUGCAUCCGCCCCCUUCGUCUCCCCGCAAUGGCCGCGUCCCUACCUCAUGUCUACGACGACAACUAGGUUAAACAUGAAGAAGUCAUCGGGCUCGGGCUCGGUGUCGUUGGCGCGGAGCAUCCCGGAGCUGUACGAGGAGAGGGGAGCCAGCAACCUCCGGGAGUUCGGGUUCCAGGAGCUCCGGGCCGCCACCAGCGACUCCAGCCGCCUGCUCAAGGUCGGCGAGGUGGCUUCGGGAGCGUUUACAAGGGCGUCGUCCGCCUUCCUGGCGGGCCCGCCGGCGGCACGGUAGUUGCCAUAAAAAACUCAAUCCCAAUGGUCAUCAGAAGUUCAAGGUUAUCUCAUUCUGGCAUAUCUCAUUUGCCUGCUGAUGAAGUGAAGCCUUUGGUUAAAUAUGAUAAUGAUGAAGAUGCACACUCACCUGGUGGCCGUGGAAGGGGUCGUGGUGGUCGAGGCCGUGGGCGGGGCAGGGGCAGAGGUGGACGUGGAAAUGGGUUCAAUGAGUAUGCUGAUGCUGGUUGGGAAGACGAUCACGCCCCUGCAUAUAUGGGCAAUGGAUAUGCCCGCGGAAGAGGUCGCAGUUUCAGGGGCCGUGGUAGGAGAGGCGACGACGAUAACCAGCCUGAAUACCAACAUGUCGGAGGUUAUUUCAAGAAGAUCCAAUUGAACCAAAAAGUGGAAUAAAAUUUCCAACAUUUCUGGAAGACGACUCCAGUCCAUCUGCAGCGGUCCUUGUUGGGAUAGGUUUCAAAGGCAUGAGAGUGAUGAGGGUCAAAAAUCUGAACCUCUACGCUUUUGGUUUAUAUAUGCAACCAACUUAUAUCCGUGAGAAGUUGGGUCCUAAGUAUGCUUCAUUUCCAACUGACAAGCUGAUGGAGAACCCUGAUUUCUAUAGUAAUCUUCUCAGGAAAUGGGUUCAAUGAGUAUGAUGAUGCUGGUUGGGAAGACGAUCACUCCCCUGCAUAUAUGGGCAAUGGAUAUGCCCGUGGAAGAGGUCGCAGUUUCAGGGGCCGUGGUAGGAGAGGCGGCGACAAUAACCAGCCUGAAUACCAACAGGUCGGAGGUUAUUACGAGUGUUCAUGCUCCAGCUUUAGGUGGGUAACCUCACAGGACACAAAUGAAGUGUACAAAAUAUUUUCAAACAAAAUUAAGCAAGGCCUGAAGAUAAUCUGAAGAGCUUUGUACAGGCGAUUUUUGAUCAUUGUUGAUCCUGAUUCCUGAUUCUUUUAUUUUUUUCAACAACAGAUUUUCACCAUUUGUAAUGGAACUGAAACCAGCCUCUCAUCGAAGUGGAAACCUUUUUUUAGUCGUAAACAUUUACAUGGUUUAUCCAGUGGUAUGCUGAUGAAAGAUGCUAAGUUUCGCUUAAUAUAAUGUAUAUGAAGGUCCUGUGUA